CGACAACGAAGGCGUAGGUGCUUAGAAACGGUGUGUGCGUGUGACACAAGACGCGGCAGCGCCCUGCCGGUGGAGUAGGUGGGGAUGGGCGGAGGCAGUGGGCCUCAAGUCCGUUGGUUGGAGCGUAUCGGAGGAGGCAGGAGAGGGCCGCAGCGUCCGUCCCCUGUGGAUCGAAGGGUGGUAGGAUCGACGGCCGUCGCCGCGACUUGAACCCUCCGUUGCUGGAUCUUUGUCCUCAAAGUCAUACGUUGUUUACCGCGAUAGACGCAAGCAGUGCUGGGGGAGGAGCAGUAUAUCGUUAUUGAAUGGCCCCAACUGACGGGCGGCCAGAGUUUCUACCGUGCGCUCUGCGGACGCGUCGUUCCAAGCUCGCGUCCGUGUUGUUCUCAACGUCAUAUUCUUCGAACCUCUAAGUCUGGAAGAACAGUCGCUCUAAUGAGAACCUUGUUACUGAAAACCCCUCGUUUUGUGUCUCUUCCUUCGUGUACUAUACGAAAGAAUAAGAAAACUAGUCCCGUAGUUAUAGGACCUGUGACGUCUUUACAUAGGUCAAGGUUGUUUCUUCCUUUGAGUUCCCGCCUGACUAGAUAUAUAUCCGUCCACCUACGUUAGGUUCGGUGCUCUGUUCCACUAAGAUCGGUGGUUUCAAAGACCAAUAAGUCUCGCUAGAUGAAUAGAAGCCCUAUUACGUCUCCACCAUGCACAGCUACGGCGGUUAUAGUUCCUUUCACAACUUUUCUCAGAAAGUGCAAAUAGAUGUCUGAUGUAACUAAACGAAGUCUAUGUGACCGGGCUAUCCAUACACGGUUAUAAACCGCUUAAGUCAAUAUUAAGUUGGUUUACCUCCGGUUCGCAAGGUAAACUCCUAGUUAACUUUCGAAAGGUCCUCGAUUAACUACUUCCUUUCCAUGCGAUAUAGCCACAAAGGUUACUUUCGAGUAUACCUCAUUACCUCAAACAUGUCCGACGGUUUGAAGUUCCUGAAGGUUUCUAACACUCGUAGGUCUUGUCAAUAUCAGAUUAACACUCUACGGCGAAACUUCAACUAGAACAACUCCAGACGGUGGGUUUAUUGACGUUACACCCCGACGAACGGAUGAGGGGUGACCGCCCACCGCAAGAGUCGCCUUUCAUAGAACUACGAUUGAGACGACCACGUUUCUCCUCGUCCGACUUAGAGAAGGGCCCUAUGUACCUCGCGAUGUUGCGCAGAAACCGAUUUCUUCGUUGCCUGCUCAUACAGUUCGAACGGUUCUUCGUACCCGAUUGUGGCCAGGUCGAACGGGAGCCGAAACACGCACUGGCGGGAAAGUGUCGAUCGUGGUAGUAUCCUCGCUGGUGGUACCUAGUCGAUUUCCUCUUGUAGCUACGUAAAUGGUCGCGAGGCGCCGGAGACGGUGGCGUUCAGGAGCUACUGUAACUCUAAGAAAAGUUCUUUAUGUUUCUAGGUCGUUAGGAGAUCUACAAGUAAGUGGAAAAGCGAUGUUUCCUGUGGUUAGGAGCUGUGCAUGUUUCUGGAUCGUUCGCCUGUACCUAAUGCGUUAAAACAAGUACAAAUAAUGUGUAACGAAACAAAGAAAGUUGACUAUAAAGGGUUUACACAUACAAAAAAAAAAACUUUAUAUACACAUGUCUAUCAUAUAGAGCCUCAUUUCUUACUACGAUGUAUAUUAGUCGAUAAAAAAGAGAUUUAAAAA
rnacentral:rRNA from 1 species